UUGGAGGGCAAGUCUGGUGCCAGCAGCCGCGGUAAUUCCAGCUCCAAUAGCGUAUAUUAAAGUUGUUGCAGUUAAAAAGCUCGUAGUUGAAUUUCGGGAUCAAUUUAUUGGUCGUGCUAUUGUACGUACUGGUAUUAUUGAUUUCUACCUUCUGACGAACCAUGAUGUCAUUAAUUUGGUGUCAUGGGGAAUCAGGACUGUUACUUUGAAAAAAUUAGAGUGUUUAAAGCAGGCUCACGCUUGAAUACAUUAGCAUGGAAUAACGAAAUAGGACGUUUGAUUCUAUUUUGUUGGUUUCUAGGAUCGACGUAAUGAUUAAUAGGGAUAGUUGGGGGCAUUAGUAUUCAAUUGUCAGAGGUGAAAUUCUUGGAUUUAUUGAAGACUAACUACUGCGAAAGCGUUUGCCAAGGAUGUUUUCAUUAAUCAAGAACGAAAGUUAGGGGAUCGAAGACGAUCAGAUACCGUCGUAGUCUUAACCAUAAACUAUGCCGACUAGGGAUCGGAUGAUGUUAAUUUUUUAAUGACUCAUUCGGCGCCUUACGGGAAAC
rnacentral:rRNA from 1 species